UCGAAGGUAGCAUAAUCAGUAGUCUUUUAAUUGAAGGCUGGUAUGAAUGGUUGGACGAGAUAUUAACUGUUUCAUAAAAAUUUUUUAUAGAAUUUUAUUUUUUAGUCAAAAAGCUAAAAUAUAUUUAAAAGACGAGAAGACCCUAUAAAUCUUUAUAUAAAUUUUAUUAUAAUUUUUUAGAUUAAUUUUGUUAUGAUUAAUUGUUAUAUUUUAUUGGGGUGAUAUUAAAAUUUAAUAAACUUUUAAUUUUAUAAUAUUCAUUAAUAUAUGAAUUAAUGAUCCGUUUUUAACGAUUAAAAAAUUAAGUUACUUUAGGGAUAACAGCGUAAUUUUUUUGGAGAGUUCUUAUCGAUAAAAAAGAUUGCGACCUCGAUGUUGGAUUAA
rnacentral:rRNA from 1 species